UGGCUCAGGAUGAAGCUAGCGGCAGGCUUAAUACAUGCAAGUCAAGGGGGUAGCAAUACUACCGGCGCACGGGUGAGUAACACGUACAUAACAUACCAUAUACUGGGGUAUAGCUUUGGGAAACUGAAGGUAAUCCCCCAUAACAUUGCGAGAGGGCAUCUGAUUGCAAUUAAAGUUUCGACGGUAUAUGAUUGAUGUGCGUUUGAUUAGCUUGUUGGUAGGGUAACGGCCUACCAAGGCGACGAUCAAUAGCUGGCGUGAGAGCGCGACCAGCCACACUGGAACUGAGACACGGUCCAGACUCCUACGGGAGGCAGCAGUAGGGAAUAUUGGACAAUGGGCGAAAGCCUGAUCCAGCCAUGCCGCGUGAUAGAUGAAGGCCCUCUGGGUUGUAAAUAUCUUUUAUCUGGGAAGAAACAAUCUUAUUCUUAAGAUCUUGACGGUACCAGAGGAAUAAGCACCGGCUAACUCCGUG
rnacentral:rRNA from 1 species